rnacentral:lncRNA from 1 species
UCCGUUGGCUCGGUGCAGAGCGCGCGCGGCGGCGACCGCGUCCUCUUCUCGCGUUGACGAGCCGCGCGCGAACACGUCUCGUCAAUUGUUUUUUUUUUUUACCACAUGCGGCUUCUGUGCGCUUCGGAACUUCUCAUAAGACUAGUUACGCCGUCACCAUAUUGGAAUAAAAAAUCUACUCGUUUUUUUUAAUAACGGACUUUAACAAUUUUAGUGUUGGCCAACAGCGAAAAAUAUUUAUCAAGAAAUAUUUUUUAACAAUUUAUGGUCCUUCGCGUCGAAACGCUAAAUGGAUUCCAACAAGACAAAUCAAGUAGAACUUUUUCAAAACUUUCUGAUUGGAUUUCAAUAAUCUAAUAGUUUACUAAAAUGUGAAAAAUCUCGGCUAAAGUGAAGAAGAGUGAUACUAGUGACGGAAUAUCACAAGCAAGAGAGGCGCAACAUGUAGUGCCAAAGUUUAAAAAAUAAAAAGCCAAGAAAGUUAACUAUCAAGAAAAAAGUACAACACUACCACAAAUGAUUGUGCGCGUGAGUGUGUGUGUGUGUGCCACCAAUCGGAAAACGAGAUUACACCGUGUCGGAAAUACGAAUGGCGACGAAAAAAACCGAAAGACCGAAAAAACCGAACACAACCUGUUGUGCCCGGAGACAUUUGGUCUUUCAACUUGCCGUUUUCGUGCCAAAAGCAGUUGCAUCUUUGGUGAGUCGUUUGUUGGUGUUCUUUAGAAAGUUUUUUUUUUAUAGUGGUUUUAUAUCCGUUAUGCAUAUACUGCCUUAUACGGGCCCUAGAAGAGCGUCGGCAGUCUCAUUGUCUUAGCGUUCGUCAUGAGUGACUCACGCUAUUGUUGCGUUGCACAAUAGACCUCUUUGUGCAUUGUACCCAAGGGACCCUGGUGUUACGUAUUUUGUAAUAAUUAGUCGACCUCUAUUGAAGUCACUAAUGACACCUAUUGCUUUCUUUAACCCGCGACUUGAAUUUGUGGAGGCGUUAUGAUGCUGUAAUAGUUUUAGUUUAUUUCUCAAUAAUAGGUUCGGAAAGUGUGAGUUAAGUGUCACAUUUUAAAAUAGCUGUGAAGUGAUGUAUCAAUAUUGACGUAAGAUAGAAAAAGUACUCAAACUUUUUGUACUGAGUAUUGAUCCACCGCGAAAUAAGUUUUUAUAUGAAACGAAACGCAAUAUCUCAUACGGCACGCGUGCGUAGGGGAUCGCCCUCACAUUCUACAUUUGAAACUACAAAGGGCAAAAAAUUUAAACCCAAAAAAGGGUCUGCCCAGAAUAUAAUAGAUAUGCGAAAACUCAAUCGCUCGCUCCUAACAAUAAAAAUGAAUAAAACCAAUGAGCUCUGUUCCAAAUUUAAAUCGUCCAAUCGAAUUUCGUCCCUGUUGAUUUACAAAUAUGAAUUACUUUUUUAAACUCGUUAGGAAAUUCGGAUUCCCCUUUUGCAGUUCGGCACAACUUGUAGGCGGGAAAAGUGGUCGUUCGUUUAGAAAUGUCAAAACAAAUUAGCAGUACGUAUAGUAGCACUAUUUUAUCGCAUAUCGAUUUUGUGUGUGCGAAAAGGAUGGUAAUAAAAUAUUAUUAUUGGAAACCAAUUUAUUGUCAGAGCUGCUUGAAUUGGUGUUUUCAACGUGUGGGGGCUUUGCUAAAGGCGUUUUAGUUUCCUGUAAUAAUAAAGUUGUUUAUGACGACUAUAUUAUCGACACGAACCGCAAGUUUUUAUGAAAACAUGUUCACAUUUAAUGUCAUAGUUAUAAAUAUACAUGUAACUAUACGUCUUGCACGUUAAUUAAAAUUUUGAUAAGCAAAUUCUGGGCGUGAAUUUUGGCGUAUUUUUGGUUAACAUUUGUCAGUAUUCCCACAAGAACAGUUAAAUAAAUUGGUUGAAAGUUCUUCGUAGUGAAAACUACCACAACACAAAUCAACGGAACACGCACCCCCGGACAAAAAAAAAGAAUACUCACAUUGUGCAAGUUUAAAAAUCGAAUUAAACGCGUAAUAAUCGAAUUACGGUUGUUAUCAGCCAUUACAUCGAUAACGUUCCAAAUUCGAAAGUAAUUACUGGCUUGUAUGUAACAGACCGCAAUUUUAAAUUAGAGAACGGAAACUACGGAACAUUUUGAUGUUUCCCAAUAGUUAGAUGGAUUUUACUUUUAAAUAUAUUGCCUGUAUUAUACCUUUCAAAAAUCUUUUUUUCUUUUUAUAAGAACAAGAAUAUACAAGAAGCGACUCUACGUUUGUUGGGCUGUUAUGGCUUUACCUAGUCGAAUUAGGCUAAAGAGCAUACUUAUUUCUCUAAUAUAUUACUUCUAGUUUAGAAGCACUUUUCUCUAACACUACUAAGCAAUAUUAGCCACAGACCAAAUUCAACUAGUAAUAAAAUAACUAAUUCAAAUAUCGAAUGAUGAGUCGAGUGGGUGGCGACGGUUCGAUUAUGGGGUAAGAAUUGGGGUAAAAAUUACCCCUGGGGGUAAUUCGCCCUCCCUAUGUGUUACUACUGAACUAGCAGUAUAUCUGUGUAGAUAUGUAUGUAUGUGUGGACGAGUGUAUGUGUUUAUUUGUCGGAGGGUAUGGUAAUGGUGUAUUUCCGUUGUCGAGUAUUCCCCCGCUAGGUACCUACUGUGAAUUUUUGCGAUUGCAUGCUGUUGAAAUGGGAAAUGUGAAGAGAUAAGAUACAAGAAUGAGGGUGUGAGCAAUGAAAUGUAUUGGAGAGGUUACGGUGAUGCACCUUUUUCCUUUAAAUAUUGUCUUAAUAUGUUAACCUCUAAAUAUUAUAAUACAUUAUAUACAUAAACUCACGCCUAAUUCCCAAGCAGGGGUAAGCAGAGACUAUAGAAUUCCAUUUGCUUCGAUCAAUGGCUUCAUACACGCUCGCCGCA